GAAUAGGAGUGUGCAACCUUUGGUCCAUGUGGAAGGGGUGCCCUGGGCAGAGGCAGAACUCCAGAAAACAGUGUAUGGAAAACUGCCUGCUCUGAGCAGGAGGCUGAGGAAGAGAAGAGGCCAACAGAAUGAGACAGGAGAGCCCAGUACUUCCCAAAAGGAUCGAACUUGGAACCUUGUGCUUGAGAGGCUGGCGGUAGAACCGCUGAGCUAAAUCCCCAGCCCCAAUUCAUGAUUUCUAUACAAAAAGUGAACAAAAGAAUCCUCAGCUGAUUGGUAACAUCUUGGACCAGUAGUACAGGAACGCUUCACUUUAAAUGGCAGUGAAGGAGCAGGCUCAAGAAUCAGCCCACAUCUGAUUUCCAUCUUACAUGAAGCUAAAAAUAUCACACUACCUGUGAAAUGAACUUAGGACCCAUAUUGGUGGGCGGCUGUGGGCAUACUCAGAUAUGGCACUCAAAUAAUGGCGUGCACCAGAAAGAAAGGAGACAUAGCAAAAAGAGCCAAAACUAAGGCCUAGGUUGGGAGAUGUAGCAAGUUGGCCAUUUAUUAUGUGAGGGGAUGGAGGCCCAGAGAUGGAAGAGCAGAAAGCACUGAAGGGGAGCCAAGGAAGGUGAAGAGACUGCUGCCCAUCAGGUAGUUCUCCAGAAGCCGAGCAAUCCCAGGUGUCUCUGUCACACCAUCACUGCUCCUGCAGGGCUUAGCUUAUAUGAAGCAAGAUCUACUCUUCAUUAAUGUAUAGUCAAUGCUUCCUAGAGUCAGAUGGAGAAGAGUAAAAUAGAUCUGUCUAAAAGCUAGAGACCUCGAAGGAACCAACUGAGGGCCUGGAUCCCAUGGCGAUGUCUCAUGGACGUCUGUAUCAAGGAUCUUCUGGGAGAAGCCCCAAAGGCCAGUGGUGGAAGCUAAAAAGUCUGUGCUGGCGGGAUGAAGGAACUGUGCCAGAAGGCUGAGGGAUCUGCACUGGAGCCAGGCGCUGGAACCACUGAGCUAAAUCCCUAGCCCACCAUUUGCAUUUUAUUCCAGAGGUAACUAUUCUUACUUGGUCUGUGUCUCCCCUUGUGUGACUUUUGGUGUGGAAUUGUGUCCAUGUGUGGCAAACAGGUUAAUUAUCUCCUGUCCAGGGAGAAGUAGCGUAAACUGUUUUGCACUUGAUAAACUCUCUAGAUAAUCAUAUCCAAAAUCUUAGGCGGGGAGGACUGAGAAUCCAUGACUAACCCUGCAGUUAUUUGGUAAUUAAUCCUUCAGAUAUUCUUCCAGUAAAGGCGUGGACCCUGUGAAGGACAGGCACUGUGGGAGGGUGGUGAGGAAGGAUGGAACACUCCAGAGAGCCUCCUUAGCCUAAAGUGUACCUAAAGUCUGGGCAUUAAGACAAGCAAAGUGAUUAGGAAGCCAAAUGAGAAAUGCUUUCUCAGCGCUAUUUUGCCUUCAUUUACAUUUUUGGGAGGGAAUGAAGUCAGAAUUAUUUUUAAAUAAGAAAGAUGAUAAAAGAAAACCAACCCAUUAAAAGGUACAAGUUAAAUAUUCAUAAGAACCAGCCCACAUCCUUUCCAGGCAGUCUUCCAGGAGGUGGUGGGAUGUCCUCCUCCUAUGUAGGGCGGAGCUUCCAUCUCACCUAGGGUUGGGGGUAAGGCUGUCCCCCGCCCCAGUUUAAGAGGCAGCCUUCACAUCCAUGUCUCAAAUCAACCCUGCUUCACCUCUGAGCAUUGCCUACCGUGUUCAUAUUUCCUCACUUUUUGGAUCUCCUUUUCAAAGGAUUGCCACAAAUGCAGGCUUAAAUUGGUUGAACUUGUCAUUUUCUCCAAAGCAGCAAAUUCUCACCAUUUGUUUUAUUUCUGGAAGGAGGACAAAAGCAGCAAAGCUGUGUUUAAUGAUUGACACCUGGGGGUGGGUCCUUCUGAAGCAACUGGGGGAGGGAAAAGGGACUAUUAUGUUUCCCCUGGGCAUGAAUGCCACCAAGAUGAAACCAACUCCUGUGAUUCUCCCACCACAAUUAAAAGAGGUGAAAGAUGACUUUUAAAAGCUCAGUCUACCAUGGAAGAGGGUUUCAGUCACCAAAGUAGAUUCCAAGCAUGCAUAUGAAUUAAUAAAUGAUCAGAGAGCAAAGGGUAUUAAAGUAUUAUUUAAGACCUUUCUUUACUUAAUAAUGACAUAAAAGUAUCAUCUGUGAACAAUGCAAAAUGAAAAUCAGGAAUUCCUGUUCAAAAAAAUUAUUACAACUAUAAAAGCAGAUCAGUCAACCUAGAGCAUUAAAUCCUUUUGAAUUCAGGGCCUUGUUCAGGUCUCAAAUUCAUGAAAGUUUAAGACAAUUUUUAAAAUAUGUCCAAUUUGCUAGCAUUAAUUCAUCCACUAAGGAUUUAUCUUGUCCCAGGCCUGGUGGCCAAUGAAUGUAAUCUUAGCACUCAGGGGGCUGAAAAAUGAGG
rnacentral:lncRNA from 1 species